rnacentral:rRNA from 1 species
CCUACGGGAGGCUGCAGUGGGGAAUAUUGGACAAUGGGCGAAAGCCUGAUCCAGCCAUGCCGCGUGUGUGAAGAAGGCCUUCGGGUUGUAAAGCACUUUCAGUGGGGAAGAAAGCCUUGGGGCUAAUACCCUCGAGGAAGGACAUCACCCACAGAAGAAGCACCGGCUAACUCCGUGCCAGCAGCCGCGGUAAUACGGAGGGUGCGAGCGUUAAUCGGAAUUACUGGGCGUAAAGCGCGCGUAGGCGGUCUGAUAAGCCGGUUGUGAAAGCCCCGGGCUCAACCUGGGAACGGCAUCCGGAACUGUCAGGCUAGAGUGCAGGAGAGGAAGGUAGAAUUCCCGGUGUAGCGGUGAAAUGCGUAGAGAUCGGGAGGAAUACCAGUGGCGAAGGCGGCCUUCUGGACUGACACUGACGCUGAGGUGCGAAAGCGUGGGUAGCAAACAGGAUUAGAUACCCUGGUAUC